rnacentral:lncRNA from 1 species
AUCCAGGGGUUUUUGCCAUACACACAGCACAGAUUUUUUUGAUUAUGUAGAUUUUUUUCUACUGCAGUUUCAUAUGCAAAGCAUGCAUCAGCCACAUCCAUGCUAUCUCCUAAAGCAGUCAUUCUGAAACCCAAUCUGGGGACAGUGCAGACUAAAUAAAAUUUCAUUUUGAUUUGGCCUCCCGCUGAGAAUGGGACUGCUUUGUUUCAGCCGACAGAACCAGCAAGCCAGAAAGGUGUUGAAUACACAAAUACUGACUUAACGGAAAAUUAUAGUUUAGCCAGAAGAGGCAAAGAUCUGGUAUAUGAUCAUACGUAACACUGAUGUCAUGCUUGCAUCUUCGAAAAGCCUGACAAACAUUACCUCAUUCAAGUACAUACCAUCCUUUUGAGACAGAGCACUUUGAGUUCUCUACAACUUUCCCCAUGGGCCUUAGUCAAGGACAAGAAAUGCAAAACCUGCCAACACAUCUCUAUCACUCCCAAAAUAACCACACCCCACAACAGAACGAGCACCAUUACUGGAUCUUAUACCUACAUGCCAUAUAUCUCAUCUAGUGCACCAAAUGCCCUGAUAAAGAAUAUGUAGGAGAAACCAAACAAACUUUUCCAAACUUCCACUCAUUUGCAUCUUCACAGACUUCUUGUUCACUUUAGCAUCGUUUCUACCUGGAAGAACUCAAAACAUCAGCAGAGUCUCCCAUUGCCUGAAGAAGAAUGCUUGUGCCCAAAAGCAUGGAAAGAACUUUGUUCCAGCUACUCACUUGGUCUAAUAAAAUAUAUCAUAUUUACCCA